rnacentral:lncRNA from 1 species
CCUCUGAAAAGUCAUAUUUGGGCAAAGACCUGUGUGAAGUGAGGGAGAUAAAGGAACAGCAAGUGGAAAAGCCCAAAGGCUCAGGAUAGCUGAUGGGCAGCUGGGAUGCCAGUGCGGCUGAACCCGAAAGAACCAGGUGACUAUCAGGAAACUCUACCAGUUAGAGAGGUACCAGUAUGCUUAGCUGUGUGUGGCCUUGCCAGCGAUAGGGAAAAGUGGGCAUUUAAUCAGAGUGACAGCGGAAGCCACUAGAGGGUUUUGAGCAAAAAGACUGAUGUGAUCUGAUUGACAUUUUCGUAGGAUCACUUUGUUUGGCUGGCUCAUUGAAAACAGACUACAGGGUUCGAGGUGGAAGCAGAGGCACCAAUGAGGAGAGUUUGUAACAUACAAGGUGAGAGGUGGUGGUGAAGUCAGCCAGGGCAAUACCAGCAGAGGCGGUGAAAGGUGAUUAGAAUCCAGGUCUGUUUUGAAGGUAGAGAGUUUAAGGUUGGAUGAAGUGUGAGAUAUGAAAGAAGCAUCCAGUGACCACGAUAGUGCCUCAUGCAAAGGAGACAUUCUACAAAUGUGUUGGGAAUGGAAAGCAGAUAAAGAUGUGAUCGAGAUGAAAGAGAAAAAUGGCAUUUGGAAUUCUCCCUUCAGAGAUCAAAGUUAACAGUAUGGUGAUACGGCAUCCAAGGAAGACAGAAAUAACUGAUUUCAAGACAGCGAAAUUUCUACAAUUUACCAGUUAUUUAAAAGCUAGCAAACAAACAACGGCAUACUCACCUUCAUCUGUUGGGGGAAAAUUAUUUUUUGUCAUUGCUCACUUCAACAUGGGCGCAAUGAGAGAUAAGAGACACUAAGAAAUGAGUGUAGAAAUGAAUAUUUUUGCUCAUUCUGCUAGAAAAUAUAAUACUUAGUAGAAACAGAUUCCUGAAUUGCUACACUUUAAACAUGCAAUCACAUUUUACUAUUAUAUGCUAUACACAUACUCUAAAUGUUGUAAGCUUAAUAUUUCAGAUUGUAUAAGAGAUUUUGAGGCAUGUUAUUGUACAUACAAAUAACAUAAAUAGGGUUACCAUCCUAAUCCAAGGGUUACUUAGAAAAGAAACCAAUACUAUUUUUGAUAUAUUAUUAAUGACAUUGUCUUCUGACAACAUAAUUUCUUAUACACACUGCUUUUACUUUAAAAAUUGUUUCUAGAUAAACAUAAUGUUUUUUCCUCUUUUGCUGUUUUUUUAUUUUUGGAAAAAUUAAAGGCAUCUUUAUGUUUAUUCUUAGAGAUAACUCAGCUUCAUCUUGGCCCACUUUCAAGUAAAAUUCAAAUAAAUUAAUUUGAGGGAUGUCAAAAUGUCUACCAGCCUAAUAACUUAACAACCUCUUAAGAUGCCAGUGGGUUAGAAUAAAAGACCUACAUCGAAGGGAAUGAUGGGGAACAUGGCAGGAGGGAAUUUUGUCUUAAUAUCCUUUCUUAGAAGCAUGCUUUCUGUGCUCAGCUGCAUAGAAACAACUGGCUUCAGGGAGCUACCUUUUACUCAAUCUUUAGAACAGUAUUAUUCAUUCAAUUGCAAUGUUGACUAUUGUAUAUACAAUUGACAUAAGGCCUCAGGACAUUCAGUCUUCUGUUACGGAAUUUAUGGAAUCUGAGCUCUCCUGCUGGGAUCAAGACACCAUCUGUAGGAACUGGUAUUAUGAACCCACCUCUGGGUUACUUUAGAUGGAGCCACGUGGCUCUGGCUCCUAGAUCUCAGCUGUAUCCAUGGCUUAUGCUGAUUUUCCACCUAUAGGGGACUAUGAAAAUUCACUUGUCUUAAUUUCAGAGUGAGACAUAAGUAAGGGUGAUUAGAUUGAUAGCAUCUCCAUUACCAAAUCAAUCAGUCCAUGGCUUGUCAGCAUUCUUUCUAGGGUUUGCAACUUGUCUGAGGCUCAGUUCACUCCUCUAGGAAAUGGAAUGAAGUGAGGGAGGAUAAGAUCAGGCUAUGAUGUGUGGGCCUUUCUCAACAUUAAAGUAGAUCAUUCCCAUCAUUUGAAUUCACUAUUAUGAUUUUAAUUAAAACCUUUGUUAAUAUCUAGAUUGGUAUCUUAUAAAGACAUAGAGAAAAGGAUGGGUUCAUUUCAUCUGAAAGGUUAGGGUUUUCUUUGGUUUGAUAUGUUUAGCUUGGCUUUUAAAAUUCUUGAACAGACUUUAUUUCUGUUCUUAAUGUAUUUUUUCUAUUUUAAUUAUUCUGGCUUUU